rnacentral:rRNA from 1 species
UUGUCCUACGGGAGGCAGCAGUGGGGGAUAUUGCACAAUGGGGGAAACCCUGAUGCAGCGACGCCGCGUGGGUGAAGAAGCGCCUCGGCGCGUAAAGCCCUGUCAGCAGGGAAGAAAAUGACGGUACCUGAAGAAGAAGCCCCGGCUAACUACGUGCCAGCAGCCGCGGUAAUACGUAGGGGGCAAGCGUUAUCCGGAUUUACUGGGUGUAAAGGGAGCGUAGACGGAAAGGCAAGUCAGAAGUGAAAGGCGGGGGCCCAACCCCCGGACUGCUUUGGAAACUGUAUAGCUGGAGGGCAGGGGAG